CGCGACUGUCCCGGUGUGACCGUGUUCUGUGCGGCGCAUUCCCGGGAGAGGUCCGAAGUCCAGAUGAAGCCCAAAGGUCAAUUGGAAGUCUUAAUCAAAGCCUGAAGGUUGAUUGGAAGUCCAAAUCAAAGCCCAAAAGUCAAUCAGAGGUCUAGAUCAAAGCUCAGGGGUCUAUCAGAAGCCCAGAAAUUGAGGCCUGAUGGCCUGAACAUGGGGCUGUGUAUCUCUGCGAGCAUGUUGGGGAAGUUGGAUCCUCGUGGCUGCAUAUCCACAAGUCCUCUGAAGGCCAAGGAAGACAUCCUGUCCUGGGGUUAGAGGACUGUGUAUGCAUAUGGAUGGCAUGGAUGCAGGAAAUCCAAAGCACAAGAGAUUCUGCAGAUGCUAGAAACCCAGAACAACGCACACAGAAUUCUGGAGAAGGUCAGCAGGUCAGGCAGCAUCCAUGGAGAGGAAUAAACAGCUGAAUAAGUGAAUUGCAAGUGGCAUAAAUGUACUUCAAUUUACUUUGAACUUUGAAAUGCCGGAGGAACUCAGUUCAACCUGUAUCCGCCAGUCUGUUUUAUUUUAAAUCAAAAUAAAUUUUAUUCAAAUGUUUUUUAAAAAUUUACACGGAUUAACUGGUCAAUGCCUUUUCAUUGGUUCUUGGUUCUUGAUCCUCCAAAAUAUUCCACAUGGAAUUUAAACUGGAGGUGGCGGAGGGUGGGUUUAAGAAGGACAUGUGUAAUCUGGGGAGAACGUAGAAAUCCCAUUAACCCACCCCGUCACCACUACUU